rnacentral:rRNA from 1 species
UACGAAGGGGGCUAGCGUUGCUCGGAAUCACUGGGCGUAAAGCGCACGUAGGCGGAUUGCUAAGUCAGGGGUGAAAUCCCGGGGCUCAACCCCGGAACUGCCUUUGAUACUGGUAGUCUCGAGUCCGGAAGAGGUGAGUGGAAUUCCGAGUGUAGAGGUGAAAUUCGUAGAUAUUCGGAGGAACACCAGUGGCGAAGGCGGCUCACUGGUCCGGUACUGACGCUGAGGUGCGAAAGCGUAGGGAGCAAACAGG